CACCGCCCGUCACACUAUAGGAGCUGGCCAUGUUUGAAGUCAUUACCCUUAACCGUAAGGAGGGGGAUGCCUAAGGCUAGGCUUGCGACUGGAGUGAAGUCAUAACAAGGUAGCCGUACUGGAAGGUGCGGCUA
rnacentral:rRNA from 1 species